ensembl:lncRNA
AAUUGUCAUCAUUACCAUUGCAUUAAUAAUAAAAUCUGGAGGUUCUUGAUUCAGGGGUAGAACAGUGUGUGUCUUUCAGAAAGGCUAAAAGUCACAGGCUGACAGGAAACAGGCUUGCAGAGAGUUUGCACAAGCAGGAAGUUAUUUUAAGCAACAGUAUGAUCAUUGCUUUAACAAUGUAACAGAUAGCUUUAAGAAGGCCUUAAGAUGCUUAUGCACACAGUUAUUAUGUUUAGUAGAGGUUCUUGAUUCAGGGGUAGAACAGUGUGUGUCUUUCAGAAAGGCUAAAAGUCACAGGCUGACAGGAAACAGGCUUGCAGAGAGUUUGCACAAGCAGGAAGUUAUUUUAAGCAACAGUAUGAUCAUUGCUUUAACAAUGUAACAGAUAGCUUUAAGAAGGCCUUAAGAUGCUUAUGCACACAGUUAUUAUGUUUAGUAGAGGUUCUUGAUUAAAACAUUUAUUUAGUAAAAGUCAUAUCCAUAGUUUCAGUUCGAUUAUUACACAUACGAGAGUGGUUUCUGUCUCUCUGUCUGGUGAGGGGUCAGGAGCUAGUCGCGAGGUGAAACAGGGUGUAAUUGUGGUUAGCACACAGACGCACACACACACACACUCAGUUAGAGAAUCAUUUAUAGGUGAAAGUUUAAUCAUGUUUUGCUGAUGUUGCAAAGAGCAGUUUGUCGCAGAACUGCUGCGAGCAUCCGGCAGUGACAGGAAGCACCUGUUGUGAAGAUAGGAGACAAUUGUUCUUUUAAACUGUGUCAAAAGUCGUUGUGGUUUUGAUUUGAUCCAUGUAUAAAAUGUGUCUGUGACGUAUGAAGGGGCGUCAGUAAACAAACCCUGAUGCUAUAAAAUAUCUGUUCAUGCUUUGAUUAAGUCGAGGACUACUGGCUGUCUGCGUACAGAGUGUCCUCCCACGCGUGUAUUCAUUAAAAUCAUCGUUUGACUUCACCCGGCCGGAUCGGUGUGGUUAUUCUUCGAUCACCUCUUGUACCCUUCCUCAAUAUUGAAUCUUAACA